rnacentral:rRNA from 1 species
GACGAACGCUGGCGGCGUGCUUAACACAUGCAAGUCGAGCGGUAAGGCCCUUCGGGUACGACGAGCGGCGAACGGGUGAGUGACACGUGGGUGACCUGCCUCUAGCUCUGGGAUAAGCCUGGGAAACUGGGUCUAAUACCGGAUAUGACUCCACGGCGCAUGUUGUGGGGUGGAAAGCCUUGUGUGGCUAGAGAUGGGCCCGCGGCCUAUCAGCUUGUUGGUGGGGUGAGGCCUACCAAGGCGACGACGGGUAGCCGGCCUGAGAGGGCGACCGGCCACACUGGGACUGAGACACGGCCCAGACUCCUACGGGAGGCAGCAGUGGGGAAUCUUGCGCAAUGGGCGAAAGCCUGACGCAGCGACGCCGCGUGAGGGAUGACGGCC